UACGUAGGGUGCGAGCGUUGUCCGGAAUUAUUGGGCGUAAAGAGCUCGUAGGCGGUCUGUCGCGUCGGCUGUGAAAACUCGGGGCUCAACCCCGAGCCUGCAGUCGAUACGGGCAGACUAGAGUGCUGUAGGGGAGACUGGAAUUCCAGGUGUAGCGGUGAAAUGCGUAGAUAUCUGGAGGAACACCGGUGGCGAAGGCGGCUCUCUGGACCGUAACUGACGCUGAGGCGCGAAAGCGUGGGGAGCAAACAGG
rnacentral:rRNA from 1 species